CGCCAAUGAUGCACAUAAAUGCAUGUAUUAUCAGAUAAAAUUGUGAUGAUACUUCAUUGUCACUACCUCUGAGGCA